rnacentral:rRNA from 1 species
GAAGCGAAGCCGCGAGGUAGAGCAAAUCUCAAAAAGACAUCUCAGUUCAGAUUGCAGGCUGCAACUCGCCUGCAUGAAGUCGGAAUUGCUAGUAAUCGUAGGUCAGCAUACUACGGUGAAUACGUUCCCGGGCCUUGUACACACCGCCCGUCAAACCAUGAGAGUUGGCAACACCCGAAGUCGGUAGUCUAACCGCAAGGAGGACGCCGCCGAAGGUGGGGUUGAUGAUUAGGGUUAAGUCGUAACAAGGUAAC